UAAUUUGAGAGUUUGAUCCUGGCUCAGGACGAACGCUGGCGGCGUGCCUAAUACAUGCAAGUCGAACGAACUCUGGUAUUGAUUGGUGCUUGCAUCAUGAUUUACAUUUGAGUAAGUGGCGAACUGGUGAGUAACACGUGGGAAACCUGCCCAGAAGCGGGGGAUAACACCUGGAAACAGAUGCUAAUACCGCAUAACAACUUGGACCGCAUGGUCCGAGCUUGAAAGAUGGCUUCGGCUAUCACUUUUGGAUGGUCCCGCGGCGUAUUAGCUAGAUGGUGGGGUAACGGCUCACCAUGGCAAUGAUACGUAGCCGACCUGAGAGGGUAAUCGGCCACAUUGGGACUGAGACACGGCCCAAACUCCUACGGGAGGCAGCAGUAGGGAAUCUUCCACAAUGGACGAAAGUCUGAUGGAGCAACGCCGCGUGAGUGAAGAAGGGUUUCGGCUCGUAAAACUCUGUUGUUAAAGAAGAACAUAUCUGAGAGUAACUGUUCAGGUAUUGACGGUAUUUAACCAGAAAGCCACGGCUAACUACGUGCCAGCAGCCGCGGUAAUACGUAGGUGGCAAGCGUUGUCCGGAUUUAUUGGGCGUAAAGCGAGCGCAGGCGGUUUUUUAAGUCUGAUGUGAAAGCCUUCGGCUCAACCGAAGAAGUGCAUCGGAAACUGGGAAACUUGAGUGCAGAAGAGGACAGUGGAACUCCAUGUGUAGCGGUGAAAUGCGUAGAUAUAUGGAAGAACACCAGUGGCGAAGGCGGCUGUCUGGUCUGUAACUGACGCUGAGGCUCGAAAGUAUGGGUAGCAAACAGGAUUAGAUACCCUGGUAGUCCAUACCGUAAACGAUGAAUGCUAAGUGUUGGAGGGUUUCCGCCCUUCAGUGCUGCAGCUAACGCAUUAAGCAUUCCGCCUGGGGAGUACGGCCGCAAGGCUGAAACUCAAAGGAAUUGACGGGGGCCCGCACAAGCGGUGGAGCAUGUGGUUUAAUUCGAAGCUACGCGAAGAACCUUACCAGGUCUUGACAUACUAUGCAAAUCUAAGAGAUUAGACGUUCCCUUCGGGGACAUGGAUACAGGUGGUGCAUGGUUGUCGUCAGCUCGUGUCGUGAGAUGUUGGGUUAAGUCCCGCAACGAGCGCAACCCUUAUUAUCAGUUGCCAGCAUUAAGUUGGGCACUCUGGUGAGACUGCCGGUGACAAACCGGAGGAAGGUGGGGAUGACGUCAAAUCAUCAUGCCCCUUAUGACCUGGGCUACACACGUGCUACAAUGGAUGGUACAACGAGUUGCGAACUCGCGAGAGUAAGCUAAUCUCUUAAAGCCAUUCUCAGUUCGGAUUGUAGGCUGCAACUCGCCUACAUGAAGUCGGAAUCGCUAGUAAUCGCGGAUCAGCAUGCCGCGGUGAAUACGUUCCCGGGCCUUGUACACACCGCCCGUCACACCAUGAGAGUUUGUAACACCCAAAGUCGGUGGGGUAACCUUUUAGGAACCAGCCGCCUAAGGUGGGACAGAUGAUUAGGGUGAAGUCGUAACAAGGUAGCCGUAGGAGAACCUGCGGCUGGAUCACCUCCUUU
rnacentral:rRNA from 1 species